CUGGGGUCAUGAUCUCCUGGUUCGUGCGAUCGAGCCCCCAGCCGGGCUCCGUGCUGACAGUGCAGAGCCUGCUUGGGAUUCUCUGUCUCCUUCCCUCUCUCU